AACACUGUUAACCUGCGGUACCUGCGGAGGGAUCGUUACAGAGUUGCAAAACUCCCUAAACCAUUGUGAACGUUACCUAAACCGUUGCUUCGGCGGGCGGCCCGGGUCCUUCCCGGCGCCCAUCGGCCCUCGCGGGCGCCCGCCGGAGGUAAACCAAACUAUUGCAUUGUAUGGCCUCUCUGAGUCUUCUGUACUGAAUAAGUCAAAACUUUUAACAACGGAUCUCAGAUCGGAAGAGCA
rnacentral:misc_RNA from 1 species